rnacentral:rRNA from 1 species
UUUCCAGACUCCUACGGGAGGCAGCAGUGGGGAAUAUUGCGCAAUGGGGGAAACCCUGAUGCAGCGACGCCGCGUGAGCGAUGAAGUAUUUCGGUAUGUAAAGCUCUAUCAGCAGGGAAGAAAAUGACGGUACCUGACUAAGAAGCCCCGGCUAACUACGUGCCAGCAGCCGCGGUAAUACGUAGGGGGCAAGCGUUAUCCGGAUUUACUGGGUGUAAAGGGAGCGUAGACGGCUGUGCAAGCCAGAUGUGAAAGCCCGGGGCUCAACCCCGGGACUGCAUUUGGAACUGCGUGGCUUGAGUGUCGGAGAGGCAGGCGGAAUUCCUGGUGUAGCGGUGAAAUGCGUAGAUAUCAGGAGGAACACCGGUGGCGAAGGCGGCCUGCUGGACUGCAACUGACGUUGAGGCCCGAAAGCGUGGGGAGCAGACAGGAUUAGAUACCCCGGUA